UGGGGAAUCUUGCACAAUGGGCGAAAGCCUGAUGCAGCCAUGCCGCGUGAAUGAUGAAGGCCUUAGGGUUGUAAAAUUCUUUCGCUAGGGACGAUAAUGACGGUACCUAGUAAAGAAGCCCCGGCUAACUUCGUGCCAGCAGCCGCGGUAAUACGAAGGGGGCUAGCGUUGUUCGGAAUUACUGGGCGUAAAGCGCACGUAGGCGGAUUAACAAGUUGGAUGUGAAAUCCCGAUGCUCAACAUCGGAACUGCAUUCAAAACUGUUAGUCUAGAGGCCAGGAGAGGUCAGUGGAAUACCGAGUGUAGAGGUGAAAUUCGUAGAUAUUCGGUGGAACACCAGUGGCGAAGGCGACUGACUGGACUGGUACUGACGCUGAGGUGCGAAAGUGUGGGGAGCAAACAGGAUUAGAUACCCUGGUAGUCCACACCGUAAACGAUGAGAGCUAGUUGUCUGCACGCAUGCGUGUAGGUGACGCAGCUAACGCAUUAAGCUCUCCGCCUGGGGAGUACGGCCGCAAGGUUA
rnacentral:rRNA from 1 species